rnacentral:piRNA from 1 species
UGCUCUGAAUGAUGGUGAGAAGGGUACCCA